UGAUUUAUAGUUCAAUGGCAGAAUAUGGUCACUAAGUAUGCUCUGUGGCCGUGAUGUGGGUUCAAAUCCUACCAAAUCCA
rnacentral:tRNA from 1 species